rnacentral:rRNA from 1 species
UACGGGGGGGGCAAGCGUUGUUCGGAAUUACUGGGCGUAAAGGGCUCGUAGGUGGCCAACUAAGUCAGACGUGAAAUCCCUCGGCUUAACCGGGGAACUGCGUCUGAUACUGGAUGGCUUGAGUUUGGGAGAGGGACGCGGAAUUCCAGGUGUAGCGGUGAAAUGCGCAGAUAUCAGGAGGAACACCGGUGGCGAAGGCGGGUCUCUGGGCAGUGAACUGACGCUGAGGAACGAAAGCGUGGGUAGCGAACAGG